CGAGGUGCAACAUCACAACAUUUCCGGAAACGCUUGUGAAGCAGACAAGGUCGGGAUUUUAUUAGUAAAUGAGAGGAGUUAACAUUUCUUCCAUGGUUAAUUUUAUCGAAAUCUAAAGAGUUCCAUCAGUGCAGCUGUUUGGGAUGGAUUAAGGGGCAGAGGAGCGGUUGGUGCCCUUCAGCAGCUGGAAGUGCAACAAUGAAAGCCCGGAGUUGAAGAGAGAACCUGGGAGGCACAUCAGGGUGAGUCAUCGCACCGACAAAUUACCACAUCGCCCCCUCAUCAUCCCUCAGUAAAGUGCAGAACUAACCUGCGGUGUGUAUGCACUCUGCUCCCUUUCUGCCUCCUAAUGUUCCCCUGAGCUAAGUAGUUCUCAUGCAAAGUAGUCAGACUUAGAGGAGACUUUACAUUCACAUUUUUUUUACUCCCAACAUUCACUGACAUUCCAACACACACAUACAUAUAUACAGUACACACACACACACAACAUAUGCUCACACACACCAAACUGACACAGAUGCAUACUGACGCCCCAAACACACACACACACACACACACACACACACACACACACACACACACACACACACACACACACACACGCACACACGCACACGCACACACACACAUUUCACAGUAAAGUCUACACCUGUUGUAUUCAGCGCAUGUGACAAAUAACAUUUGAUUUAACGGUUUUCCCUGAUGUGGCCACUAGAUGGCACUGUAGGCCUACUCCACCUAGCCACAACAGUAGAAACAUAAUCUGUGGCGACAAAUCAUCAGUAUUGAGGGGUAUUCCAGAGGACUAUUCCAGAAAACCGGAUUAGUGAUUUAGCGAAAUGUGCCAAAACCGAAUUUGUGAAAACUUUCCAGGCUCCAGAAAGAGAGCCUGGUCAGAAACCAUAGCAACGGAUGCUCUGAAUCAAACCUGCUACCUACUACGUCAACUUGAUUUUAGCCUGUCCGGUGAAUAAAUAAAUAUAAGACCUGUCCGCCAAUCAGAUUCUUGUUCAUCACUACCGCCUAUCCCUUCUUGGAAAAUCCACUUGACAUCGGAGCCUGAAUUGUUCGCCGGGCUCUCCAGUGGGAACAAACUAUUGGACCUAGAAUACAUCCUUUAGACCAUAAAGAAUUCGGAAUUAUUUUUCCGCACAGUCACUAAUAUAUCUGGUCAAUUUACUCAACCCAUACCAAAUGUAACUCAACGCGGUUUCACUACGACUGCUAUACAAACUCUGUGUAUGUUUUUCCACUGGAAGUUUCCUGUACAAUUUUUAUUUUUUUAUUUUACUAGGCAAGUCAGUUAAGAACAAAUUCUUAUUUUCAAUGACAGCCUAGGACCAGUGGGUUAACUGCCUGUUCAGGGCCAGAACAACAGAUUUGUACCUUGUCAGCUCGGGGAUUCGAACUUGCAACCUUUCGGUUACUAGUCCAACGCUCUAACCACUAGGCUACCCUGCCGUGGGCGAUGGUCAACUAUUUGGCAAGGCAACUGUGUGUAGAACCGUAAAAAGAGUCUACAUCGCAUUGAAUAUAUAUUUGUAUGUAUUUGUUGCAUUCCCUGGCCAUCAAGCUGUCCAUAUAAUAAUCAAUGAGGACUUUUACAGAAUUGCAGGUAUAGUAGGCUGUGAUAGGUUGACUGCCAGUGAUGCUUUGUUAACCUCAAAUUAAUAAAGCUAAGCAACAUAAUAAACAUGAUAAAUAGCCAAAUUCAUCCCGCAGAUUUUCCAAACGUCAUUGGUGCUAUAGGUGGGGCACAUAUCCUCCAUUCAAAGACCAUUCUAGACCAAAAUGAAGGGGAGAAAAUCAAUUCACAGCAUAAACAAACAGGUAGCUAGCUAUUGAAUACUGUAGCCUACACAAAUCAAAUCAUUUUCAUAAACAGUCAUGAAAUUAAAUGAUCUUCCUUCUUUUGUCAGAUGAUCUGUGACCCCCAUUGGGUUAUAACUGAACAGAGAACUCAUUGUUGCCCAUGUUGUCAUGAAAAGCACUAUGAAUUCAAUAAAUUAUUAUUAAUCCUACAUUAGGCUAUGAAAUAGACCUGCAAUUGUGACAUGGGCUACAACAACUUCCACAUUAGGCCAAAGCCUUGACACUUAAUAUCACCAGCGGUCCAAUAAAAGUGCUCUAUAAAGUGCAAAGUGUUGUUACUAAUCAGCCAUGUGUGUGAGCUAGGCCUAUUAGACAUUGGAAUUGUGUCACUACACUUGGCCAAGCUCUGUCUGCAAUUUUCUGCCAGGCUCCCUCUAUGGCUUUUGCAGCAGUGGAUGUAUUACUUGUUUUCAUAAAUAUAUGAACAUAUUCGUUGUAUGUUCUUACAACUGUUUCUUGUUGUAGACGUGAAAUACUGGGCUCUGUCUUUUGACUCCGUAUCCAUAGUUUUUUCUGUCGUCGACUUGAGGACCUUUUUUAUGUUGCGUGCACAUGCCAGAUCAACCAAUCUGUGCUCCACUUAGCCUAACAACUUAAAUGAGAAGCAUCUGUUCUGGAACCAAGGAUUCCUGGACUCCCUCAUCUGGUUAACACAAGCCAGACAUGUUCAGGGAACCCUGAAUUUGUUAAACCAUCUUUCUGAAAUACUAAUACCCCUCUGAACUAGAGUCAGGAUGUGCCUGUAGUGUCAUACCUUGACCACUGGGGGCCCAAGUCCUUCCACUGUCAAAGUACAGUAUGUUGCCAUCAUGAGCACGUUCCCCUGCCCAGGCAUUGUUGAAUCAUGCCAGAUCUCACCAUGCCUGGAUAGGUAUUUUACUUAUCAGCUAACCACACAACAAUCUGGUGCUCAACAUCAAAGUCGUUGACGUGGCACGCAACCAUUGGUUGAUGAAUGCAACGUCUAGCCAGGGGAACAGGAUUCUGAUCAUGCUGCAGUGGCAGUGCAUAUCUGUCAUUCAUUGUCUAUCCUCCAUAAUACUCUUACCAUGCCUUUUCUUCUUAAAAUAAACCCUUGUAUGUUUGGCAUGUAUGUUCUGCAUUGAAAGGCUUUAGGUGUUUCAACAUCCUGUUUGACUAAGUCACGUUUUGUAUGGGUCACCCCCACACUGACAGCUCCUUAAACCUUCAAUAGUUGCUAUGUUCGCUAGGAAUAUGCAGAAAGUAAACAGGGAGUGGAGGCAUAUGGAAGGAAGGCACAUUUCUGAUCUACAGCAACAAUGCCACGUGUGUAUGAUGUUUGGAAUGUUCAGAAUGCUGAGUGCACAGGCUGACGCGCAACAUGGCAAAGAGUAGAACAGAGAGUGUAACAAGUGCUCCUCAUCCAUUCUGUCUAUCUUAAUCAUAUGAAACAUAUCCACAGCUAAAAUGAACAUAAAUACGUCUAGAAAUAAGACUAAUAAGCUUUAAUAAUGGUAAUAUAUGUUUUAAAACAAAAUAAAAAAACAUUAUGUGAAAGGUUAUAAUUAAAGUAAACCUUUUAUUUUGUAGGAAACAACGAAGGCAACUAAAAAUCUGUACAUUCUGUAUAAAACAACAUUAAAAAAAACAA